CUCUCUCCUUCCUUCCCUGCCUAUUUAGUAUUUACCCAAGUCGACCAUGAAUUUCGUUUCUUGUAUGUGCGUGUCUCAAAGGGAGAGAGAGCGAGAGAAGAAAGCUGUUGUUCGGAAUGAAGUUUGAUCCAAGAUCUCUCACUACUAAAAGCAUUUUCCUGGUUCUCGUGAAAUUCUUUUCUCAAGUUCUUGCGCUAUUACUUAGGAAGUUAGGAGAUAGAUCUCGGACCAGGCUUCAUUCCUCACGACAAGAUUUCUGUGGAAGAAGGUUUCUUUUCUGUUUAAUUGGUUUGGUGAUUUAUAGAAGACCAAAGACGGGAGAUCUGGCAGCACGUAUCUUUUACCUGCCGCGCCCAUUCCUCAACCGAUCGAUGUGUUUUUGCUUCGAAUUUGUUUCUCCUUUCCACAUUCAGCUUUGUUUCUGCUAGACAAAAAAAUUGCUACAAAAAAUUUGUUUUAUGCAGAAAAACUUCAGGUCCUGAGAUGCUAGAGUUAAAACAUGUAUACGUUUUCUUUUUGGGGCCUUAGGAUUGAAGGAGAGGAAAUCUCCAGUAACUUGUUGCACCCCCUCAUAUUUGCCAAGCGACGUUUCAGUUUGCUAUGUAGACUAGACGGCUUUUGUAUUUUCUUAGGUGUUUCUUCUGGAUGACAAUUGUUUGAGAUUUCUUUCAUUUGGCCUAGGGCUAGCUGGAAAAGCCAUUAAGGUGUUGGACGUUUCAGUUACUGUGGAUUGUGAGUGUGGGUGCGUGCAUAUGGUGUGUUGGCAUUCUUGCAGGAGUAUCCAGUUCAUAAUGAUGCAAUAAUCUUUCUUAUGUAAUGGCAGGUGUUCUCGAUCUGGACAGUCGUCAGUGUUGAUCAAACAUAUCGUUGCUCUAUCCCUUCUCACUUUAGAGUUGGAAAAUUAUUUGGAUACAUCUUUCACUUGCAUAAACUUCGUCUUUCUUUUGGAUCGAUGACUAGUUAUUUGGAUAAAUAACCUAAGAAAACCUUCUCGUUCUUACAGAAGAAUUUUAAUUUGUUCCGCCGUUCCCCCAUCUUCUCUCAAAGAGCUUGGGCUGAAGUAUUUGUAGGUGCUAUAAACAUUACUCAAAAAGAGUAGUUCUCUUUAUCGUUUGGGGAGUUGAAUUUUUUUUUAUCAAACACAAGAUGAUAAACGGUGCUCUGAAAGUGUACUCCAGUCUGUCCCGCUGAUGGACGUCUCGUGGCACUGAUAUUUGAAUGACAUCAGUUCAUUUGUUA